UUGAUCUCAAAUCAGGUAGGACUACCCGCUGAACUUAAGCAUAUCAAUAAGCGGAGGAAAAGAAACUAACAAGGAUUCCCCUAGUAACUGCGAGUGAAGCGGGAAGAGCUCAAAUUUAAAAUCUGGCGUGCCUAUGGUCGUCCGAGUUGUAGUCUGGAGAAGUGUUUUCCGUGUUGGACCGUGUAUAAGUCUCUUGGAACAGGGCGUCAUAGAGGGUGAGAAUCCCGUCUUUGACACGGACUACCAAUGCUUUGUGAUGCGCUCUCAAAGAGUCGAGUUGUUUGGGAAUGCAGCUCAAAAUGGGUGGUAAAUUCCAUCUAAAGCUAAAUAUAGGCGAGAGACCGAUAGCGAACAAGUACCGUGAGGGAAAGAUGAAAAGCACUUUGGAAAGAGAGUUAAACAGUACGUGAAAUUGCUGAAAGGGAA
rnacentral:rRNA from 1 species